rnacentral:rRNA from 1 species
CAGUCGCCGCGGUAAUACGAAGGGGGCUAGCGUUGCUCGGAAUUACUGGGCGUAAAGGGCGCGUAGGCGGAUUGUUAAGUUGGAGGUGAAAGCCCAGGGCUCAACCUUGGAACUGCCUUCAAUACUGGCAAUCUUGAGUAUGAGAGAGGUGUGUGGAACUCCGAGUGUAGAGGUGAAAUUCGUAGAUAUUCGGAAGAACACCAGUGGCGAAGGCGACACACUGGCUCAUUACUGACGCUGAGGCGCGAAAGCGUGGGGAGCAAACAGGAUUAGAUACCCCUGUAGUCCCUGUCUCUUAUAC